UACAGAGGGGGCAAGCGUUGUUCGGAAUUACUGGGCGUAAAGGGCGCGUAGGCGGCCUGUUAAGUCGAACGUGAAAUCCCCGGGCUCAACCCGGGAACUGCGUCCGAUACUGGCAGGCUUGAAUCCGGGAGAGGGAUGUGGAAUUCCUGGUGUGGCGGUGAAAUGCGUAGAUAUCAGGAGGAACACCGGUGGCGAAGGCGGCUAUCUGGACAGAGUCUGACGCUGAGGCGCGAAAGCGUGGGGAGCAAACAGG
rnacentral:rRNA from 1 species